rnacentral:rRNA from 1 species
CCUACGGGCGGCAGCAGUGGGGAAUAUUUGGCAAUGGGCGCAAGCCUGACCCAGCAACGCCGCGUGAAGGAAGAAGGCUUUCGGGUUGUAAACUUCUUUUGUCAGGGACGAAGCAAGUGACGGUACCUGACGAAUAAGCCACGGCUAACUACGUGCCAGCAGCCGCGGUAAUACGUAGGUGGCAAGCGUUAUCCGGAUUUAUUGGGUGUAAAGGGCGUGUAGGCGGGAAUGCAAGUAAGAUGUGAAAGCUAUGGGCUCAACCCAUAGCCUGCAUUUGAAACUGUAUUUCUUGAGUGCUGGAGAGGCAAUCGGAAUUCCGUGUGUAGCGGUGAAAUGCGUAGAUAUACGGAGGAACACCAGUGGCGAAGGCGGAUUGCUGGACAGUAACUGACGCUGAGGCGCGAAAGCGUGGGGAGCAAACAGGAUUAGAUACCCUUGUAGUC